rnacentral:rRNA from 1 species
AACCAACAGGGAUUCCCUUAGUAACGGCGAGCGAAAAGGGAGCAGCCCAGUAUGUAAAUCUCCAACCCUUGGUUGGCGAAUUGUAGUCUGGAGUAGCAUUUCCCGGUGACACGUCGGCCCAAGCAUCUUGGAAUAGAUCGCCUGAGAGGGUGAGAGCCCCGUAGGUUGGCCGUGUUGCCUUCACGGAAUGCUCACACAGAGUCGGGUUGUUUGGGAAUGCAGCCCCAAUUGGGUGGUAAACCCCAUCUAAGGCUAAAUACCUGUGGGAGACCGAUAGCAAAAAAGUACCUCGAGGGAACGAUGAAAAGACCGCUGGCAAGCGAGUGAAAGAGUGCAUGAAAUUGUAUAGUGGGAAGGGAUGGCCUGGCGUGUUGCCCGCGGGCAUACUCAGUUCUUUGAGCUGCUGAAUGCACCGUGGGCAGGCUGGUGCCAACACUUGCGCUUGAACAUCCCCAAACUAAGGUGUUUGGCUGCUACUACUUACUACUUCUCGUAGUGAAUGUUAGUUAUAUCAAGCGUGGGUGUUGAGGCGUUGAUCGUUGCUUGGCUUCUCCAACUGGAAGUUGCUUCGACAUAGCACCAGCUGAA